UACGUAGGGGGCGAGCGUUGUCCGGAUUUAUUGGGCGUAAAGAGCUCGUAGGCGGUUUGGUAAGUCGGGUGUGAAAUCUCCACGCUCAACGUGGAGGGGCCACUCGAUACUGCCAUGACUCGAGUCCGGUAGAGGAGUGUGGAAUUCCCGGUGUAGCGGUGAAAUGCGCAGAUAUCGGGAGGAACACCCGUAGCGAAGGCGGCACUCUGGGCCGGAACUGACGCUGAGGUGCGAAAGCGUGGGGAGCAAACAGG
rnacentral:rRNA from 1 species